UGGGGAAUAUUGCACAAUGGGCGCAAGCCUGAUGCAGCCAUGCCGCGUGUAUGAAGAAGGCCUUCGGGUUGUAAAGUACUUUCAGCGGGGAGGAAGGCGAUAAGGUUAAUAACCUUGUCGAUUGACGUUACCCGCAGAAGAAGCACCGGCUAACUCUGUGCCAGCAGCCGCGGUAAUACGGAGGGUGCAAGCGUUAAUCGGAAUUACUGGGCGUAAAGCGCACGCAGGCGGUCUGUCAAGUCGGAUGUGAAAUCCCCGGGCUCAACCUGGGAACUGCAUUCGAAACUGGCAGGCUAGAGUCUUGUAGAGGGGGGUAGAAUUCCAGGUGUAGCGGUGAAAUGCGUAGAGAUCUGGAGGAAUACCGGUGGCGAAGGCGGCCCCCUGGACAAAGACUGACGCUCAGGUGCGAAAGCGUGGGGAGCAAACA
rnacentral:rRNA from 1 species